GCUAAAAUAGCUCUAGCAAAAGCUUUGGUUGCGGAAUUCCCACAAUUAAAAAACAACUUAUCUAACAACGGCUGGGAACACUUUAUUACUCCUGAUGGCCAACAUGGAUUUAUAGAAUAUCGUUUAUUAACAAUUCGAACAAAACUGAGUCCAUCAAAAAAAAAAUACGCAGGAGCAGCAAACAAAAAACUAUCUAAGAUCUCACGUGUUGCUCUGAAGCCACUCAAUUUCGAUUUUACUGAUGAAGAAAUAAAUGAAAAAAUAUCCGUUAUGAAGUGUAAGAAUCCAACAGACUCAAAUAAAGACACGAUCAUAUUAUAUCUAGAACAAACCAGAAAUUAUAGACGACAUUGGAUAGAGUCAGAAAAACCUACAAUUUCUGAUAUUUUUAAUAUGUAUCCUCGCCUUCUAGAUUAUAAUG